GGAAGAAUCAGAGGGUUGGAGCAUGGAUGGAGGAAAUACAAGGACAGGAAUAAACAGAUGGAUAAAUAAAUAGAGAAAGUAAAGGAGGCUUGGAAAAUAUUAAACUGUUGAGGAAAUGUAGGAGAGCUGGAAAGUACUUGAUAGAAUAAUGACAUUACAAAAAGUAAUUAGUGACGUGACAGAUCUGGUGAUAUAAAAGAAGUUGAAAAUGAAUGAAAAUAUUGAUGAUGCUAUUGUUAAUGAUGUCUUGAUUGUAAUGUAGCACAAUCUGCCACCAGGAAAGCCUUCAGGUUGUUGAGAAAUGACCCAAGAAUCUUCAGGGAGACUGCAUCAAACAGUAUGGUCAACGCUAACACCUAUAGAUAUCUAGUGCCUGGCUUCCUGCCCUGUCCAUCGUCAUCCAUUAGCGACGGCGUUAAGGGCGGCUUCAUCUCAGCCUCAUGUCAUAGCAAGCAUCCUUCAUCUCCUUACAUCAACAUUAUCUCAACACCAACCGUACAAGAAACUCGCUGACUUAGGCCUCGUCCUGAUCCUCGCCCUCACCGCCAGCUCCUUUCCUUCCUCAUUGACAAACUCGCUUGCACAACAACAACUGCUUUCACCCGCCUGAUGGUAACAAUGUGUAUGUAUGUGUAUGCAUGUAAUUAACGUUAAUUUAUAUCUUUUUGUGUGUGAUUAUGUAUAUCUUUGAAAACGAUCAUUCACAUCAAAGCGUGAUUGCUCUCUGUGUGACAAUGGCUCAACUCAAGCAAGUCUGCACGAGCUGCGGCUCAACACACUUUGCUACAAAAUGCAAAGGUUACAGUAAUUCUUGUAUUAAUAUUAUAAAGCAAUAAACUUUACUUACUUACCUACACACACACACACACACACACACACACACACAGACACACACACAUGAAAAAAAAAAUAUAUAUAAAGAAAUUAUUUGGAACCGUUCAGUUAAACCCCUAAGGAGCAAAAAGAAAUUCGAGGGAUUAUUUUCUGGAAAGGAAAAAAAAAUAGGUAAUUUCAGAAAGGAAGAUUAAAAUAUAUUGAAAAGAAAUAGACUAAAAUAUGUUAUUCCUAAGAAAAAAAAUGUACUUAACGAUUUUUCUAUUUAUUUUCAUUGAUGUAAUAGAAAAUUCCUUAAUAUUUCCCACCUACUCGAAUUAUUCUUUAUCAAAACUGUGUAACGUAAAAUUUUUGUCUUGUUCGCACCGGUGUAAUAAACAUAAAUCCUGAA